GACGAAUGCUGGCGGCGUGCUUAACACAUGCAAGUCGAACGGAAAGGCCCUGCUUUUGUGGGGUGCUCGAGUGGCGAACGGGUGAGUAACACGUGAGUAACCUGCCCUUGACUUUGGGAUAACUUCAGGAAACUGGGGCUAAUACCGGAUAGGAGCUCCUGCUGCAUGGUGGGGGUUGGAAAGUUUCGGCGGUUGGGGAUGGACUCGCGGCUUAUCAGCUUGUUGGUGGGGUAGUGGCUUACCAAGGCUUUGACGGGUAGCCGGCCUGAGAGGGUGACCGGCCACAUUGGGACUGAGGUACGGCCCAGACUCCUACGGGAGGCAGCAGUGGGGAAUAUUGCACAAUGGGCGGAAGCCUGAUGCAGCAACGCCGCGUGCGGGAUGACGGCCUUCGGGUUGUAAACCGCUUUCGCCUGUGGCGAAGCGUGAGUGACGGUAAUGGGUAAAGAAGCACCGGCUAACUACGUG
rnacentral:rRNA from 1 species